AAGCAGACCGCUGGGUGGUAUUAAAGGAGAUGGAGUUGGAAGUGACCAAGCUGCAUGAUGGUAUAUUAACAGCUAUAUAUUAAUGUCCCAUGAUGGAGGAGAACCGAUGCCAAGAUUUUCGACAAUGAUGAAGCUUGAAAUGGUAUAGGAUAAUAAGAUUUGCCAAUAAAAUCUUUUGAUUCGAU